CCUACGGGUGGCAGCAGUGGGGAAUAUUGGGCAAUGGGCGCAAGCCUGAACCAGCAACGCCGCGUGAAGGAUGAAGGCUUUAGGGUUGUAAACUUCUUUUAAUAGGGAAGAGUAGAAGACGGUAUCUCUUGUAUAAGCCACGGCUAACUACGUGCCAGCAGCCGGGAUAAUACGUAGGUGGCAAGUGUUGUCCGGAUUUACUGGGUGUAAAGGGCGUGUAGCGGGGCUAAUAAGUCAGAUGUGAAAUUCUGGGGCUCAACCCCAGACCUGCAUUUGAAACUGUUAGUCUUGAGUAUCGGAGAGGUAGGCGGAAUUCCUGGUGUAGCUGUAAAAUGCGUAGAGAUUAAGAGGAACACCAAUUGCGAAGGCGGCCUGCUGGACGACUACUGACGGUGAUGCACGAAAGCGUGGGGAGCAAACAGGAUUAGAUACCCGUGUAGUC
rnacentral:rRNA from 1 species